rnacentral:rRNA from 1 species
UAAUGUAUGGGAUCUGCCCGAUAGAGGGGGAUAACUACUGGAAACGGUGGCUAAUACCGCAUAAUGUCUACGGACCAAAGCAGGGGCUCUUCGGACCUUGCACUAUCGGAUGAACCCAUAUGGGAUUAGCUAGUAGGUGGGGUAAAGGCUCACCUAGGCGACGAUCUCUAGCUGGUCUGAGAGGAUGAUCAGCCACACUGGGACUGAGACACGGCCCAG